AGAAACUUAGGUUGAUCAAACCAAAGGCCUUCAAAGCCUUAAACAAGAGUUAAACCCUCUUAGUCUCUG
rnacentral:tRNA from 1 species